GGUCUGAGAGGAUGAUCCGCCACACUGGGACUGAGACACGGCCCAGACUCCUACGGGAGGCAGCAGUGGGGAAUAUUGGACAAUGGGCGCAAGCCUGAUCCAGCCAUGCCGCGUGUGUGAAGAAGGCCUUUUGGUUGUAAAGCACUUUAAGCGAGGAGGAGGCUACUUGGAUUAAUACUCUAGGAUAGUGGACGUUACUCGCAGAAUAAGCACCGGCUAACUCUGUGCCAGCAGCCGCGGUAAUACAGAGGGUGCGAGCGUUAAUCGGAUUUACUGGGCGUAAAGCGUGCGUAGGCGGCUUCUUAAGUCGGAUGUGAAAUCCCUGAGCUUAACUUAGGAAUUGCAUUCGAUACU
rnacentral:rRNA from 1 species